AAUCAACGCUGGCGGCGUGCCUCAGACAUGCAAGUCGAACGAGAAGUCCCCUUCGGGGGAUGGAUAGUGGCGCACGGGUGAGUAACACGUGGGUAAUUUACCUUUGGGUGGGGAACAACAGCCGGAAACGGCUGCUAAUACCGCAUAAUGCAGCGGCUCCUCAUGGAGACAGUUGUUAAAGCGGGGGAUCGCAAGACCUCGCGCCUGAAGAGAAGCCCGCGGCAGAUAGCUAGUUGGUAGGUAAUGGCUUACCAAGGCGACGAUCUGUAACCGGCCUGAGAGGGCGGUCGGUCACACUGACACUGACAUACGGGUCAGACUCCUACGGGAGGCAGCAGUCGGGAAUUUUGGGCAAGUGGGCGAAAGCCUGACCCAGCAACGCCGCGUGAAGGAUG
rnacentral:rRNA from 1 species